rnacentral:rRNA from 1 species
GACGAACGCUGGCGGCGUGCUUAACACAUGCAAGUCGAACGGUAAGGCCCUUCGGGGUACACGAGUGGCGAACGGGUGAGUAACACGUGGGUGAUCUGCCCUGCACUUCGGGAUAAGCCUGGGAAACUGGGUCUAAUACCGGAUAGGACUCCUGGCUUCAUGGUUGGGGGUGGAAAGCUUUUGCGGUGUGGGAUGGGCCCGCGGCCUAUCAGCUUGUUGGUGGGGUAAUGGCCAACCAAGGCGACGACGGGUAGCCGGCCUGAGAGGGUGACCGGUCACACUGGGACUGAGAUACGGCCCAGACUCCUACGGGAGGCAGCAGUGGGGAAUAUUGCACAACGGGCGCAAGCCUGAUGCAGCGACGCCGCGUGAGGGAUGACGGCCUUCGGGUUGUAAACCUCUUUCAGCUAUGACGAAGCGCAAGUGACGGUAGUAGCAGAAGAAGGACCGGCCAACUACGUGCCAGCCGCCGCAGUAA